rnacentral:misc_RNA from 1 species
UGUGGGAGGGGGCUUGCCCCGAUGGCGGUGGAUCAGUCAGCUUAUUGGUUACUGACACACCGCCAUCGGGGGCAAGCCCCCUCCCACA